UGCAGCUGAGAGCCCACCUGAAGAGCCCCGGCCUGAAUCCACUAUUUCUCUUCCUGCUGACUCACCCGACGCGUCCACUUACACAACCUCUCAGAAUACCCGCUGUGAUUCUCGAGGUGUUCAGGGAUGGGAGGCUGUGGAUGACUUGGCCAAGUAUCUUGUUCUACUUAAUAGAACAAUAACGGCAUUAUCACUAGGCGAGACGGAUGACAUAGUGAGGCUGUAUUCAAAGCUACAUCAAAUGGAUAAGCAACCCACAACCUAUAGCCUGAAGUCCAAAAAAAGGACCUUGCCUGGACCAUGGAGAGCUUCCAGGAAACGAAGUGGCUCUGCGCCAGGCCAACAAGCAGCUGAAAGACUAUUCAUGAC